GGGGCGGAACCAAGUGUCCCAGUGGUCGAUGAGGCCAAUCUGCAUCAGUUCCAAUAUCCCUCGACUAAUGCUGGCGUGUAGGGACUGUUUUUCGGAAGAGCAAACGAGGCCGUGGUGCUGAGGAAACUUUCUUU